rnacentral:rRNA from 1 species
AACGAACGCUGGCGGCAUGCCUAACACAUGCAAGUCGAACGAGACCUUCGGGUCUAGUGGCGCACGGGUGCGUAACGCGUGGGAACCUGCCCUUAGGUUCGGAAUAACUCCCCGAAAGGGGUGCUAAUACCGGAUAAUGUCUUCGGACCAAAGAUUUAUCGCCUUUGGAUGGGCCCGCGUUGGAUUAGCUAGUUGGUAGGGUAAAAGCCUACCAAGGCGACGAUCCAUAGCUGGUCUGAGAGGAUGAUCAGCCACACUGGGACUGAGACACGGCCCAGACUCCUACGGGAGGAAGCAGUGGGGAAUAUUGGACAAUGGGCGAAAGCCUGAGCCAGCAAUGCCGCGUGAGUGAUGAAGGCCUUAGGGUUGUAAAGCUCUUUUACCCGGGAUGAUAAUGACAGUACCGGGAGAAUAAGCGCCGGCUAACUCCGUG